rnacentral:SRP_RNA from 2 species
GCUGGGCAUGGUGGCGUGCACCUGUACUCCCAGCUACUCGGGAGGCUGAGGCAGAAGAAUCGCUUGAACCCAGGGGGCGGGGUUGCAGUGAGCUGAGAUCGUGCCACUGCACUCCAGCCUGGGUGACAGAGCGAGACUCUGUCUCAA